rnacentral:lncRNA from 1 species
GAGUGUCCAGCCUCCCAGCCCACUUUGUAGGAGGAAGACUUACCAUGGGUGGGUUGGGGUGCUGAGGAAGGAUGCUACCCAUCUAGCAGAGAGUCCAGGGUCAAAGAACAGUUCUUCUUACCAUAUUCUUAUAUGUCUCCUCCCUCAUCUCCCUCCCGCCAGACCCCCUAGUUCUGUCUAUACCUUACAUGUGGCACCAUCUUUGUAAAGGUCAACUCUGACCAUGACCUUCCCCUUUUAAGCCAGAAUAGUGGCCCAGCUCCUCAGCCUGGUCUUUGAGCUCUUUUAUAUGAGUUCCUCGGGCCCCUACACAUUCCAUGCCACCUAACGGUGCAUGCCAGCCACACACAACCUGUGUUUCCUUAACAGGCUAUACUCUUGCCUGCUGAGUCUCAGCACUUACAUCCUCUGCCUUCUGUGUCCUCUCACCUCUAUGUCCACCUGACAAACUCCUAAUCAUCUACCAAGUGCCAGUUCUUCUGGGAAGUUCUCCCUGAGCACCUCUGGCUGGCUGGGAGUUCCUCUGGGCUCCAUGGCCCCUUGAUUGUGUCUUCAUCACCCAGGUGGACUGGGUCCAUGUCAAUGUCUCUUCCCUAGCCAGAAUGGGCAUUCCUCAAGGGCCCUAUAGAGCAUGACAUGAGGCUGAGUUCACAGGAUCCCUGUAAAGCAGGGCACACAAG